CUUGUAGUAGCAAACAUAGUCUGUUUCUUAGUCAAUACAGUCAAUGCAGAGUUUUGGGCUGCAGCAUCACAUCAUUCUUCUUGUGAUUAAAGGCGACUGGAGGUGUAUUUUCAUGUCUGUUGGCAGUUCUCCAGGAAUAAGACAGCAGAAUGGAAUCGUGUGCAAGGCCUUUCCUAGCUCAGCACUGUGCAGGUUUGUGCUUGGGCGGGUGGUUAAAUGCUCUCCAGAC